UACGUAGGUGGCGAGCGUUGUCCGGAAUUACUGGGCGUAAAGCGCGCGCAGGCGGUUCUUCAAGUCAGAGGUGAAAGCCCAGAGCUCAACUCUGGAAUGGCCUUUGAGACUAGAGAACUAGGGUACGGGAGAGGUGAGUGGAAUUCCGAGUGUAGAGGUGAAAUUCGUAGAUAUUCGGAAGAACACCAGUGGCGAAGGCGGCUCACUGGCCCGUUACCGACGCUCAGGCGCGACAGCGUGGGGAGCAAACAGG
rnacentral:rRNA from 1 species